AUUGAACGCUGGCGGCAGGCCUAACACAUGCAAGUCGAGCGAGCGGCGGACGGGUGAGUAAUGUCUGGGAAACUGCCUGAUGGAGGGGGAUAACUCCUGGAAACGGUAGCUAAUACCGCAUACCAUCAGAUGUGCCCAGAUUGGAUUAGCUAGUAGGUGGGGUAACGGCUCACCUAGGCGACGAUCCCUAGCUGGUCUGAGAGGAUUAACAGCCACACCGGAACGGAGACACGGUCCAGACUCCUACGGGAGGCAGCAGGGGGUAAGAUUGCACAAUGGGCGCAAGCCUGAUGCAGGCAUGCCGCGUGUGUGAAGAAGGCCUUCGGGUUGUAAAGCACUUUCAGCGGGGAGGCGUUACCCGCAGAAGAAGCACCGGCUAACUCCGUUCCAGCAGACGCGGUAAUUC
rnacentral:rRNA from 1 species